CAUCAUCUUGCGCUCUAAGUUCUGCUUUUCUACAGCAACUGUUCGAUUCUCUUCCUGUGCUUUUUCAAGCCUUCGGGGCUCUGUUCUGCCGUCUGAAGGCUUUCCAAAUCUUUCAUCAUUUUGGUAAUGUGCUCUUUUGAAGUCUUGUUCUGUGUAUAUGCAAACCAACAACCUCCGACCCCAAUCACUAUGGAGACUAUUUACUACAGUAACAACAAGCCAGAUUGCGCAGUGCUUCAGAUUCAAUUCCAGAGAGUUACUUUGAAGCAAACUGUUGAAGCAGCUGUAUCUGUUUCCAGGACUGUAUGGCAACUCAUCACGGCAAUAUAGAAAAGGACACAGCUGCUUUAAUGAGCUGCCAGC